rnacentral:rRNA from 1 species
CUUUGGGAUAACCCUCGGAAACGGGGGCUAAUACCGGAUAUGACCUCCUGUCGCAUGGUGGAGGGUGGAAAGUUUUUCGGCCUGGGAUGGGCUCGCGGCCUAUCAGCUUGUUGGUGGGGUGAUGGCCUACCAAGGCGACGACGGGUAGCCGGCCUGAGAGGGCGACCGGCCACACUGGGACUGAGACACGGCCCAGACUCCUACGGGAGGCAGCAGUGGGGAAUAUUGCGCAAUGGGCGGAAGCCUGAUGCAGCGACGCCGCGUGAGGGAUGACGGCCUUCGGGUUGUAAACCUCUUUCAGCAGGGACGAAGCGCAAGUGACGGUACCUGCAGAAGAAACGCCGACCAACUACGUGCCAGCAGCCGCGGUAAGACGUAGGGCGCGAGCGUUGUCCGGAUUUAUUGGGCGUAAAGAGCUCGUAGGCGGCUUGUCGCGUCGACCGUGAAAACUCGGGGCUCAACCCCAAGCCUGCGGUCGAUACGGGCAGGCUAGAGUUCGGUAGGGGAGACUGGAAUUCCUGGUGUAGCAGUGAAAUGCGCAGAUAUCAGGAGGAACACCGGUGGCGAAGGCGGGUCUCUGGGCCGAUACUGACGCUGAGGAGCGAAAGCGUGGGGAGCGAACAGGAUUAGAUACCCUGGUAGUCCACGCUGUAAACGUUGGGCGC